AUGCGUACCUUGCGAAUGAAGUGGAGACACAUAUAUAUAGCCCCCAGCGCAGGGCCAAGGCCCUUGAUGGCAUUAAUGGCCAUCAAGUGGCUGCCGGAAAACGGCUUGGAAGCCUUGAUGUGCAAUAAAUGCCCAUCAUUCCGGUUUACGGCCGUUACGAUACGUAAGAGUAUCUGACCGUUGGAGGGUCGAGCGCGUCUAGCGGGCUCUUCGUACAUGCUUGCUCGGAUCGUAUGUGUUCGACAUCCUCUUAGGCUCGAGCGUGA
rnacentral:lncRNA from 1 species